rnacentral:tRNA from 1 species
GUAUAUAUAGCUCACCGGUAGAGUGCAUGCUUAGCAUGCAUGAAGUCCUGGGUUCAAUCCUCAGUACCUUUA